rnacentral:lncRNA from 1 species
UUUGCAUUUAAUAAAUGUUCAUUAUUAAAAUGACAUAAUUUUGGUUGUAACUGAAUUAAUUUAAAAUUGCGAUACAUUUACUAAAAACAAUCUGUUCUUUCCAUUUCUCUUGAUUUAAAAUUUCAUUAUUAAAAACGACAAAAGUGUUUGCAAUAAUUCAUAUCACAUCACCAAAACAAAAUGUGCAGUAUAUAUAUUUACAGCUUAAAGCAAUUAAAUCUUCAUAAAAAUUGAAUUGGUCCACUUAUUUUAAAUUAACAAUCUUAUAUUUUACGAUUAUCAGAAGAUGGCAUAAUCAUAAAACAAAUUUGCAAUAUUCAAUAUCUGUGUGAAUAGAUAUUAUGAUUAGUACUGUUGAUUAUUCAUAAUGUCAAGUCCCUAUUUCUGAUUUGAAAUCCUUAUUUUCU